rnacentral:lncRNA from 1 species
CCUUACAAGAGAAUGGCAGGAGGUCCCUGGGCAGGCGCAGGCCUCCAGUGGGAGGCUCAGGAUGGAAGCGCGCGCCCCUGACCUUGAAUGGCCCAAAGCCCAGAAUUCCUACCACGCCCCCGGCGUCCGCGAAGGAGCAGCCAACCUAACCCUACCUGCUGUGACCAGGUGGAGGUGUGUGGUGGAAGGGGAAAGCCGGCCGGCUGGCAAAGCGCUGCGGAGAAAGACACGAGGCUCCUGCGCAGGGAAAGCCGAGGUUGCCACCGCAGGCCUGGCACGACCAGGGCCGUGAUGCCCCGCCCGGCCCGACCCCCGCGCGCAGAGGUACCUGGAGACGAUUUCAACUGAAGUAAUGAAGGCAGUGUCGUGCUGUCGAGAGAAAGGUGGAUCCCAACAACAGGAAACUACCUAAAUCACCGACCAGUUCUGGUGCUGCCCGCGAAGGGCUGCCUCGCCCGCCGCCGCCGCCGCCUCCGCCGCUGCCGCCGCCGCCGCCGCCGCCGCCGCCGCCGCCAAGGAGAGAACCCUGCCAUCGCGCCUGGCCCGGCCCAGCCCAGCCCCUAGGCAACCUGCGCCCGCCAGUGCAACAGAGUGCCCCAGGCGGCCGCAAAUGCGUCAAGGAAGGGGAAGCCACAGGCCCCAGUAAGCCAAAGUCAAGCCCGUUUGCCAACCUGCAUGUCCAUGCCUGUAAGCCCUUCUCUUGGCCAAGGAAGAAAGGAAGAAAGAAAAAAGAAACCCAGGGGCCUGUAUCCCCUGAUUAAACACAGCACAGCACUCCAGGCAGACAUGCCCGGUGGCGGCUCCUUUGCACCAUUGACCUCAGGCCAGACACCUCAGCGCCAACAAUGGGACCUCGGCCUUCCGGCUAGGUUUGCCCCAGGCUGGGCAGGAAACCAGCUCGGCCGAAGACAGGGGCCAUUUCGAGCAGUGGGACCCCAAGACAGCAAACCCAGCCCAGUCACGACUUGACACUUAGGACAAUAUCUAUCUCUAUAGAAUUUUAGCACGAUAUGGCUUUUUCCCCCAGAAAACAACAAAUAAACCAGCACCAAGCAAACACAAAGAAACAAAAAGUCAGAACAAACCAGCCCUGCACAGAUGUAACGGCCCAGGAGAUGGCGAGUGUGGGAGGGAGGAACAGGGCUCCAGCACAGGUGCGAGUUCCUGGGCAGAGGCUGAAGACAGAGGGAGGGGACCAGCGCUCGGGAAGUGAAAAAACCGCGUCGCCUGGAGAUUCAUCAGGAAAAAUUAAAGUUGGCUGUGAGCUCCCGGAUCCGGUUUUCUCGAUUCAUUUUCUUCAGUUUCAUCCUGCGGUUCUGAAACCAGAUUUUCACUUGUCUGUCCGUGAGGUGGACGCUGCGGCUAAUCUCUAGGCGCCGCUCUCGAGUAAGGUACAUGUUGAACAGAAACUCCUUCUCCAGCUCCAGUGUCUGGUGCUUCGUGUAGGGGCAGCGCUUCUUCCGACCACUCUUUGCCGUGAGCCAGUUGGCUGCGUUUUCACCUUUGGAAUUGCCUGGCAUGUAAGAGAAUAAAGAGGGGAUGAUUAAGUCGAGGCCACACGGGCUGCCCGCGGGGGUGAAUUGCCUCCGUUUCUCCCAUAAGAGAGAUGUCCCAAGUCACAGAGAAGAGAGUCGUGACCCCGUUUUUGGCUUGCUGAGAGCAAGCAGUUCCUCCAAAAGUCAUGACAAAAAUUGAGUGGGCCUUCAAUCUACAUGACCCUUCCAAUUUACAUUUCCCCCACUUUUCCAAACACCUGUUUUAGCGCUAAGCCGUAGAUGCUUGCAGAAGGAAAGGCCUGGGAGGGCAGGCUGUACAUCUUGAACUUAACGCUUUUCUUUGCCUCUUGCCAUAUGGCAGACAAGCAUUUCCUGUAGCCCCCAGGCUAGGAGCGCGGGGUGCUUACUUGGAAGAUGGGCCAGGCAGCUUGGCUGUCUCACCCCAGGGCCCUGAUUGCCCAAGUCUCGAUAAGGGGAGAAAGAAGGGCAUCAUUGGUCCAAUGGGGAAGGCAGGAAAAACCGAUUCGGGGGUCAAGGGCCCUCCCUCAAGUUUCUCCAGGAGCCAGGGAUAGAUAGCUGGGCGAUUCCGAGGUCCAGGGGAAGGGAAAUGGCCCUUCUCUGGCUCUCAGCUCAGGGCCCCCCGCUUCCAGGCCGGAUUUGCCUUUUCUUCUUCCCGCAACGAAGAUUCCCGCCCCUCAGCAACUUUGAAAAAAGCAUGGGGGAUCGUAAACUCGAACUUCGCCGGUUAAUGGGCUUAUUUAUUGGCGCUGGCGGCUGCUUAUUUUGGAUGCCUUACAAACAUCCGCGCUAUCUGCGGGCGAGCUACUUUCCCUCCCUCCCCCUCCCCCCGCGUGGGCCGCGCCGCGCAGGCUGGGCAGGGACCAGGGCUCUGGGUGCUCCCGGCCACAGGAAAGAGCGCACAGGAGGGGGCCUGCUCGCUGGUGUCCUCGUCCCUAGUCAGGGGGAGCUGAGGCCAGCGCCGAGGACGUCUUGC